rfam:Thermoactinomyces sp. Gus2-1 c17, whole genome shotgun sequence.
AAUCCCUUUUAAAUCGGUCCAGUGAGUCCGGCAAAGGGAUGCGGUUGACAAACAAGCGCUGUAUUGUUUUACUGCGUCUCUUUGCGUAUGGGCAAAGAGACGUUUUUUUA